rnacentral:rRNA from 1 species
GCUUGUCUCAAAGAUUAAGCCAUGCAUGUCUAAGUAUAAGCACCCUUAUACUGCGAAACUGCGUACAGCUCAUUAUAUCAGCAAUUAUUUAUUUGAAGGUCACCUAUUACAUGGAUAACCGUGGUAAUUCUAGAGCUAAUACAUGCGAAAAGUCGGCGCAAGUCGAUGUAUUUAUUAGAUCAAAACCAAACGGCUUCGGCCGUCUCAUUGGUGACUCUGAAUAACUUUGGGCUGAUCGUAUGGCCUUGUGCCGACGACGUUUCCUUCGAAGGUGUGCCCUAUCAACUGUCGACUGUGAUAUAGACGCUCACAGUGGUUUUGACGGGUAACGGGGAAUCAGGGUUCGAUUCCGGAGAGGGAGCCUUAAAAACGGCUACCACAUCCAAGGAAGGCAGCAGG